GCACUGCUGAGGAGUCCCAUACCAGGACGAAACGGCCGUCCAGUGC
rfam:Schistosoma margrebowiei strain Zambia genome assembly, scaffold: SMRZ_contig0006767